rnacentral:rRNA from 1 species
GACGAACGCUGGCGGCGUGCCUAAUACAUGCAAGUCGAACGCUGAAGAGAGGAGCUUGCUCUUCUUGGAUGAGUUGCGAACGGGUGAGUAACGCGUAGGUCACCUGCCUGGUAGCGGGGGAUAACUAUUGGAAACGAUAGCUAAUACCGCAUAAAAUGGAUUAUCGCAUGAUAAUCCAUUGAAAGGUGCAAAUGCAUCACUACCAGAUGGACCUGCGUUGUAUUAGCUAGUUGGUGGGGUAACGGCUCACCAAGGGGACGAUACAUAGCCGACCUGGGAGGGUGAACGGCCACACUGGGAUUGGGGCACCGGCCAGACUCCUACGGGAGGCAGCAGGAGGGGAUCUUCGGCAAUGGACGGAAAUCUGACCGAGCAACGCCGCGGGAGUGAAGAAGGUUGUCGGAUCGGAAAGCUCUGUUGUAAGAGAAGAACGAGUGGGAGGGUGGAAAGUUCACGCUGUGACGGUAUCUUACCAGAAAGCGACGGCUAACUACGUG